UACGUAGGGUGCAAGCGUUGUCCGGAAUUAUUGGGCGUAAAGAGCUCGUAGGCGGUCUGUCGCGUCGGCUGUGAAAUCCCGAGGCUCAACCUCGGGUCUGCAGUCGAUACGGGCAAACUAGAGUAUUGCAGGGGAGACUGGAAUUCCUGGUGUAGCGGUGAAAUGCGCAGAUAUCAGGAGGAACACCGGUGGCGAAGGCGGGUCUCUGGGCCGAUACUGACGCUGAGGAGCGAAAGCGUGGGGGAGCAAACAGG
rnacentral:rRNA from 1 species